rnacentral:lncRNA from 1 species
GUUGGAAAGGUUUUAAUGGUGAAGACUGAGACAUCUUUCCAAGGCCAGCAUGUUGGGUCCUUGUGGGUAGGUGCUUGUCACAGAUAGCAUGCUGGAGCAUUCUGUUUUCUGUUACGAUAAAUCUUUCCACCAAAAGCCGCUGAGCCCUACCGCCACAUGGGAGCUUUACGCCAGUCUCCCCUGUCUGAGUUAGGGCCCAAAUGAAUACACAGAAACUUGUAUUAGGUACAAAGCUGCUUGGCCAAUGACUAGGAUUCUCAUCUGUUAGCUCAGUCUUAAUUAUCAUAAAUCUAUAUAUUUUAUAAGACUUAUCUUAUCAGACGCCUUAUUGGCGUCCCUCCUUGCCGGUGGAUCACAUCCUGCCGCUGGAGCAGGAAUGGGAAAGAGGGCCCUUCCUGUUUCUCCUUCGCUUAAAUAUGAGUCUCCUUGCUACAUCACUUCCUGCCUGGAUCAUCACUUCUCUACUACAUUUCCCAGAAUCCUCUUUGACUCCUAGUCCCGCCUAUCUUGCUGUUUCAUUGGCCAAACAGAACCUUAUUAAACAAUCAAUAAGAUAACAUACACAGAAGUACUUCCCCAUCAGUUUUCUGUGUGAGCCUUUGAUGAUCUUUAAUGUCAAGAAGAUUUCCCAUGCGCCACGGACAGGUAUUAUAAUAACUCUCAAAUAUACAGGAGGAAGAAGACAGUGUGGUUCAUUAGAUUCUAUACUUUGCAUGAAACCCAGUGCAUCACAUCAUCAGUUCCUUUGUGAGCAUUGGACAGAAAUUAUCUGGUCACUCUCGAAGUUCCAGAAAACCAGAGAGCCUCAGCAUCAGACCUGUCUUCAUGGAGAAUGA